rnacentral:rRNA from 1 species
AUUGAACGCUGGCGGCAUGCCUAACACAUGCAAGUCGAGCGGAUGAAGGGAGCUUUCUCCUGUCUUCCGUUACCGGCGGGUGGGUAAGGCCCAGGAGGCUGCCUUGUCUAUGGGAAUAACGUCCGUUAGCGGACCCUAAUAUCGCAUACGUCCUGAUGUUGAACCUGGGGGUUCUUCGGACCUAGCCGUAUCUGAUGACCCUUGGUCGGAUUAGCUAGUUGGUGGGGUAAAGGCCUACCAAGGCGACGAUCCGUAACUGGUCUGAGAGGAUGAUCAGUCACACUGGAACUGAGACACGGUCCAGACUCCUACGGGAGGCAGCAGUGGGGAAUCUUGGGCAAUGGGCGAAAGCCUGAUGGAGCCACGCCGCGUGUGUGAAGAAGGUCUUCGGAUUGUAAAGCACUGUAAGUUGGGAGGAAGGGCAGUGAGUUAAUCUAUUGCUGUUUUGACGGUACCAACAGAAUAAGCCACGGCUAACUUCGUG